rnacentral:rRNA from 1 species
GAUGAAGGCUUUCGGGUCGUAAAACUCUGUCCUCAAGGAAGAUAAUGACGGUACUUGAGGAGGAAGCCCCGGCUAACUACGUGCCAGCAGCCGCGGUAAUACGUAGGGGGCUAGCGUUAUCCGGAUUUACUGGGCGUAAAGGGUGCGUAGGCGGUCUUUCAAGUCAGGAGUGAAAGGCUACGGCUCAACCGUAGUAAGCUCUUGAAACUGGGAGACUUGAGUGCAGGAGAGGAGAGUGGAAUUCCUAGUGUAGCGGUGAAAUGCGUAGAUAUUAGGAGGAACACCAGUUGCGAAGGCGGCUCUCUGGACUGUAACUGACGCUGAGGCACGAAAGCGUGGGGAGCAAACAGGAUUAGAUACCCUGGUAGUCCACGCUGUAAACGAUGAGUACUAGGUGUCGGGGGUUACCCCCCUCGGUGCCGCAGCUAACGCAUUAAGUACUCCGCCUGGGAAGUACGCUCGCAAGAG